rnacentral:rRNA from 1 species
GAUGAACGCUGGCGGCGUGCCUAAUACAUGCAAGUCGAGCGAACAGACGAGGAGCUUGCUCCUCUGACGUUAGCGGCGGACGGGUGAGUAACACGUGGAUAACCUACCUAUAAGACUGGGAUAACUUCGGGAAACCGGAGCUAAUACCGGAUAAUAUAUUGAACCGCAUGGUUCAAUAGUGAAAGACGGUUUUGCUGUCAUUUAUAGAUGGAUCCGCGCCGCAUUAGCUAGUUGGUAAGGUAACGGCUUACCAAGGCAACGAUGCGUAGCCGACCUGAGAGGGUGAUCGGCCACACUGGAACUGAGACACGGUCCAGACUCCUACGGGAGGCAGCAGUAGGGAAUCUUCCGCAAUGGGCGAAAGCCUGACGGAGCAACGCCGCGUGAGUGAUGAAGGUCUUCGGAUCGUAAAACUCUGUUAUUAGGGAAGAACGAAUGUGUAAGUAACUAUGCACGUCUUGACGGUACCUAAUCAGAAAGCCACGGCUAACUACGUG